rnacentral:rRNA from 1 species
UCGACGCGAAGAUCCCGCAAGGGAUUUGUAGCGUGGCAAACGGGUGAGUAACACGUGGGUGACCUGCCUUCGAGCGGGGGAUAACGUCCCGAAAGGGACGCUAAUACCGCAUAACAUCCUGCCUUUGAAGAGGUGGAGAUCAAAGCUGAGGAUCGCAAGACUUAGCACUCGAAGAGGGGCCCGCGCCUGAUUAGCUAGUUGGUAGGGUAAUGGCUCACCAAGGCAACGAUCAGUAUCCGGCCUGAGAGGGCGGACGGACACACUGGGACUGAGACACGGCCCAGACUCCUACGGGAGGCAGCAGUGGGGAAUUGUUCGCAAUGGGCGCAAGCCUGACGACGCAACGCCGCGUGGAGGAUGAAGAUCUUCGGGUCGUAAACUCCUUUCGAUCGAGACGAACGGCUUCCGGGCUAAUCACCGGGAGAGUGACGGUACCGAGAGAAGAAGCCCCGGCUAACUCCGUGCCAGCAGCCGCGGUAAUACGGGGGGGGCAAGCGUUGUUCGGAAUUACUGGGCGUAAAGGGCUCGUAGGCGGCCAACUAAGUCAGACGUGAAAUCCCUCGGCUUAACCGGGGAACUGCGUCUGAUACUGGAUGGCUGGAGUUUGGGAGAGGGAUGCGGAAUUCCAGGUGUAGCGGUGAAAUGCGUAGAUAUCUGGAGGAACACCGGUGGCGAAGGCGGCAUCCUGGACCAAUACUGACGCUGAGGAGCGAAAG